rnacentral:lncRNA from 1 species
UUGGGAAGAUUCAUAUAAUCUAUAACAUUCUCUGUUAACAUAAAAUCACCAGCAGAGUUCUUCCUCGCCAGGUUCUGAAGUAGAGGGCAAUCACAUGGCUGAAAGAGCAAGCUACCUGUGAGAAGAAAGCAAGAUCUUGUUCUAUCAGCCUCCAAAGCUUCCUACAUCUUCAAUUCCAAGCCCUCAGAGCUUGGAAUGGAGGCCUUUGACUAUGUACACUGACAUCCUCAGUUAGAGAAAGAGUCUUGAAGUUGCAACUGCUGCCCAGUUAGAGCAAAACAAGCAUUAAGUUACUGGAGUCCAAACCUCUGGUGCUGCUCCACAAUAGAUAUUUGUUUACAGCUGUGGACAAGCCCAAGCGUUGGUUUCAAUUUAUAGUGUCUGGCAAUUUCUACUGCUGGGAUUUUAGCCAAAGCCAACCUCUCUCCUUCUGUCUGUCUUUAUCCAUCUCAUUUCUCAGUUAAUAUUUUGAAAUAUUCUUCCUCUGAAUCUCUAAAUAUGCCAUUUGGAGUUUGACUUAUAACAACUAUGUUCUCCCCAACAUCUGCUAUAUAUUACUUUUGUAAUCAAGAUUUGGCCAAAUUAUGUUUCUUUCUGGGUUAGAAAAAUCCAGAACUGAAUUCUAAUUCUGGAGCAUUCAUUCUUGGAGCAGUCAUUAAGUCUCUCUGAGUUAAUUUCUUUAUCUAUAUAAAAACUAAAACAAUAUCUCUUUCAACAGAAUGUUAUUGUGAGGACUAAAAAUGACUAUAUAAAAAUAUUAGCAUAAUACCAAGUCCCUUGGAGCGAAAAUAGGUUUUGGUGUAUAGGAAGAUGUGUGAGGAUUCCUUUUCAUGCUGUAAAUAUAAUAACAUACAAAUAAGAAAAUCAAGUGGAAAAAUUUAUUAGAAAAUAAUUCAUUAAGGAAUAAUCACAUCCCUCAUCAAUUGGAAGUUGAGUAGAUUAUUGUUCUGAUUUGGCCAGUUUAUAUUUACACUCAAAUGCCUUUGUUUUUCCGAUCAUGAUUAGGAAUGGCUUAAUUAAUGAAUUCAUGGGGACAGAGCAAAAUGAAAGGAGCAGAGACCACGAACUAGAUUUACCUCAUAUUGGUAUUCAUCCAAUUUGGUGUGGGUCAAUAAUGGGAAUAAAGAGAUUGGUUUUGGAUUUCACCUUCAUCUUUAACCCUGAGAUGAAUGGAAUCACAUUGUAGAGACAGCAGAGGAUUUGCGCAGAGACAGAAAGGGAGACAGAAAAUGAAAUCAGGACAUCUGGGAAACAAAGGAAUAUUAAAGGUAAGGGAAGAAUCAAGGCAGAGUCAAGAACCAAGUCUAGUGGCAGGUAGCCAAUAAAAGAACUGUGUCUCUUUUUUCCCCUCUUUUUAAAACAACAGGAGGGUAUAUUUUGACAUAUUAUACAUACAAGGAGUAUUAACAUGGAGAUCUCAUUCUUGUGGUUGUACAUGAUGUGGAGUUUCACUGUUCAUGUAUUUGUAUAUGAACAUAGAAGGAUGUUGUUUUGAUACAAGAAGGUUUGACUGAAGACUUGACCCAAUUCCAGCCAAUUUCUAGCAUAAGUUAUAAUUUGUAGGAGUGAAAUUUUAUCCUAGUAUUCUUUUUCCACCCACUCUCUCUGCAAACCACUCUGUUGCUUGUUUCCUCCUAUACCUGCAUGAAAGUUUAGGUGGAUUCCAUAAUAUCUCUGCUCAUUCUAAAGUAUUCUCAGGAACAGCCUUGAGUUUUAAGGUAAUCAACUUCCAGUCUAGCUUAAUGUAAGAACUCAAACCCUCUUUCAGUCUUAAGCAUUGCACUCCUCCCUGCCCCUCCUGCCCCAACCCACUUGCAUGACUCAUGCUGGGAAGAGUUAAAGAGAUGCAUGGUUAGCUGUUUUUCCAUAUUUCUCCCAAACUGCCUGGAUGCUUUUCCUCUCCCAACUAGAGUUAUGUGUUAAAGGCUGGGGGAAGGGUAGAGGGAGGGUAGCAAAAUGGAGGAGAAAAAGAGACAGGGAGAAUUUGGUGGGUACAGGGUUCAUCUAUCAUUACCCUCCUAGGAUGUCAGAUAAUCAAUCUUUUUCUGGUUGCUACUUUUGUGGGUGUUUGUAAAUAUCCUUCUCUGGGAGUUCCC